GAUGAACGCUGGCGGCGUGCCUAAUACAUGCAAGUCGAGCGAACAGAUAAGGAGCUUGCUCCUUUGACGUUAGCGGCGGACGGGUGAGUAACACGUGGGUAACCUACCUAUAAGACUGGGAUAACUUCGGGAAACCGGAGCUAAUACCGGAUAAUAUUUCGAACCGCAUGGUUCGAUAGUGAAAGAUGGUUUUGCUAUCACUUAUAGGUGGACCCGCGCCGUAUUAGCUAGUUGGUAAGGUAACGGCUUACCAAGGCGACGAUACGUAGCCGACCUGAGAGGGUGAUCGGCCACACUGGAACUGAGACACGGUCCAGACUCCUACGGGAGGCAGCAGUAGGGAAUCUUCCGCAAUGGGCGAAAGCCUGACGGAGCAACGCCGCGUGAGUGAUGAAGGUCUUCGGAUCGUAAAACUCUGUUAUUAGGGAAGAACAUACGUGUAAGUAACUGUGCACGUCUUGACGGUACCUAAUCAGAAAGCCACGGCUAACUACGUG
rnacentral:rRNA from 1 species